UUGACCUCACACUCAUUUUUAUCAGCAGAUUAGUGUGCUUUGAGUACACCACAGUUCUGUAAGUGAAAAAUUAAUUCAUAUUUAUGUGUGUUUCUUUCUCAGUAAGGACUAACUUUAACUGACUUUCUGUCUGUCUGUCUGUCUGUUCUCAACCAAACGGUCAUUCAAGACCUUUUAAAGCAAAAACAUUUCCCGUGCAAGUUUGAAUCUCUCUCAGUAAGGACUUAUUGACUGGCUGUCUGUUCUCGACCAAACGGUCAUUCUUACUCAUAAAAAACUUUUAAAGCACAAGUGUGUCCCGCGCAAGUUUGAAUUUCUCUCAGUAAGGACUGACGGACGGCCAUUCACUCAUAAAACCUUUUAAAGGUUAGCACGAAUGCAUCCAGCAUAAUUUUGGAUCUUUACCAUUGAGGAGACUGGCUGACUGUUCUCAACCAACCAUCAUUCACAAGCAAAAACUUUAAAGGUAAGUAUGAACGUGUCUAGAGCAGUUUUGGAUCUUUACCAUUGAGGAGGUUGACUGACUUUCAUCUACCAACUGUCAUUAACACAACAAAAACUAAAGAAAUGUUACUACAAGUGGACCUAUUCAGUUACUCAUUAUGCUGUGAGUACACCACAAUUUUAUCAGUGAAACAAUAAUGUUUGUUUUUUCUCAAUGCUUGGCAUAGACAAAUGUGACCCUGUGUA